AUUUAGGUAGUUUAAUUAAAAUUUUGUAUUGUGGAUUCAAAGAUGUAUUUUUACUCUAGAUA
rnacentral:tRNA from 1 species